AUGACUUUCUUCUACCUUCCUCCUGAUCACAAACAUCACCAACCUUUCACUAGUAAUAGCUCAUCACAGUCACAUGAUGGAGGAGUUGUCCACAUAUGCGGCAGGCCGGCCGGCACAUAUGACAUAAACCCCGGAAUUAAAUUACCGGCAACAUACACAUCGCAAUCACAAAUUUGGAACCACAUAUGCAGCUCGAAAAUAACACUGUUAGAACCACACAAGGUGGAGCUUUCUUUUCCCCUGUCAGCCCUCAAAAGUCAGGAGGCAGCACCGGUUUUCCCAGUCCUGUUGAUAAAAGAAAGUCCAAUGUAUAGAAAAAGAGCAGUCAAACAAAGGCGCACACCAUUGGCAUUUCCCCUUUCGUCCACCUAG
rnacentral:rRNA from 1 species